rnacentral:rRNA from 1 species
UACAGAGGUGGCAAGCGUUGUUCGGAAUUACUGGGCGUAAAGGGCUCGUAGGCGGCCAACUAAGUCAGACGUGAAAUCCCCAGGCUCAACCUGGGAACUGCAUCCGAUACUGGAUGGCUUGAAUUCGGGAGAGGGAUGCAGAAUUCCAGGUGUAGCGGUGAAAUGCGUAGAUAUCUGGAGGAAUACCGGUGGCGAAGGCGGCAUCCUGGACCGACAUUGACGCUGAUGAGCGAAAGCUAGGGGAGCAAACGGG